AGCCUAGGGAAGAGUAAGGUGUCUGGCCGGGCUGUAUCUCAUGGGUGGCGAGGGAACAUUGCCUGUCUCGGAAACAGUUCCCAAGACAACGCGCAUCCCAGACGCCCGGCGAGGCUGCCUUCCUACAGGAGUGGUCCUAAUCUGCAUAUCCAAGAGCAAUGUAUGUGAACCUACGUUUCCACAGCCUCACCCACAGAAUGUGUGCUCAAACAUUUGGAUUUUUGCCCAUCUACUAGGUCAGCAUUUUACCUAUGGAUGGCAUUUUCUAUUUUCGGUGACGGACUAUGAGCCAGGAUAAACACAUUACUCCCUUCUUUAACAAAAAGAGCAUGGUUAACUCCAAAGACUUCUCUAGACCAGCCUGGAUGGUACCUAAACUUUAAUCAACCAAUGCUCAAGUAAAAGAGCAGUAUCCAGCCCCAGCACACCUAACUGUUUUGCAUAACAUAGGUGAGUAGUGACAUUUUCCUUAUCUUUUCCACUG
rnacentral:antisense_RNA from 1 species